UACGUAGGGACCAAGCGUUGUUCGGAUUUACUGGGCGUAAAGGGCGCGUAGGCGGCGUGGUAAGUCACUUGUGAAAUCUCUGAGCUUAACUCAGAACGGCCAAGUGAUACUGCUGUGCUAGAGUGCAGAAGGGGCAAUCGGAAUUCUUGGUGUAGCGGUGGAAUGCGUAGAUAUCAAGAGGAACACCUGAGGUGAAGACGGGUUGCUGGGCCGACACUGACGCUGACAGCGCGAAAGCCAGGGGAGCAAACGGG
rnacentral:rRNA from 1 species